rnacentral:rRNA from 1 species
CCUACGGGAGGCAGCAGUGGGGAAUAUUGGACAAUGGGGGCAACCCUGAUCCAGCCAUGCCGCGUGUGUGAAGAAGGCCCUCGGGUUGUAAAGCACUUUCAGUGAGGAAGAACGCCUGGUGGUUAAUACCCAUCAGGAAAGACAUCACUCACAGAAGAAGCACCGGCUAACUCCGUGCCAGCAGCCGCGGUAAUACGGAGGGUGCGAGCGUUAAUCGGAAUUACUGGGCGUAAAGCGCGCGUAGGUGGCUUGAUAAGCCGGUUGUGAAAGCCCCGGGCUCAACCUGGGAACGGCAUCCGGAACUGUCAAGCUAGAGUGCAGGAGAGGAAGGUAGAAUUCCCGGUGUAGCGGUGAAAUGCGUAGAGAUCGGGAGGAAUACCAGUGGCGAAGGCGCCCUUCUGGACUGACACUGACACUGAGGUGCGAAAGCGUGGGUAGCAAACAGGAGUAGAUACCCCUGUAGUC